CAACAGUUCUCUUGGGUUGACUGAACCUACCUAUCCGAAAUCAGCGACCAGGGACAGAGAGCAAGAACCCACCGCUAACCCACAACCGCCGGACACGUGAGAGCAAGACAAAACGACGGGUCCCACAGGGACGCGAGGAAAGUAGCAGCCCAACCCCCCGACGACACUUUGGUGAACAGUUGUAGGCGACGAGGCACCCUCCAUUGUUCGCCCUUUCACUCUCACUUGAUGGUUUAAAUUGGAAAAUCACUUUGCUGCACAUUUCUUUUUAUGCAGACAACCUCCAUAGGAAUCUGGAAUUUUGGAGCUCUGAGCUGUUCCAGCUGGUGGCAUGUGACGGAAGGGCGCUCCACAUUUUCACAGGGCGAUCCUCCCCCCUCCCUCCCCGCUGCUCUCUUCCCGGAGAAGAUUGGAUCCCCGCCGUUGUAGAUCUGGGUUUGAAGCGAGCAGAAGAGAAGAGAGGAGGGGAGCAGCAGAGUUGAGCCAGAGAUGGAGGCGCUGAGCAACGACCCACUGCCUCCACCCGCCGCCGGCGAAGCCACGUCCGCCUCCCCGCCCCAUGGACGGGGCCGUCGUCCCGGGCUCCUUCGCUGCCGUCCCCGCCGGCCGUGGGCUCAGCCCCGGCUGCCCGGCUUCCCCCGAUUUGGUAUUUUUUUAUUUUGGUAUUUGUCACGGAACCGGAUUAAUGUAAACGGAUUAUCUUAAGCUUAAUGGUAUAAUUGUCCACUUAAGGGCAAUUGCACAA